AGAGUUUGAUCCUGGCUCAGAUUGAACGCUGGCGGCAGGCUUAACACAUGCAAGUCGAGCGGGGAAAGGUAGCUUGCUACCUGACCUAGCGGCGGACGGGUGAGUAAUGCUUAGGAAUCUGCCUAUUAGUGGGGGACAACAUUCCGAAAGGAAUGCUAAUACCGCAUACGCCCUACGGGGGAAAGCAGGGGAUCUUCGGACCUUGCGCUAAUAGAUGAGCCUAAGUCAGAUUAGCUAGUUGGUGGGGUAAAGGCCUACCAAGGCGACGAUCUGUAGCGGGUCUGAGAGGAUGAUCCGCCACACUGGGACUGAGACACGGCCCAGACUCCUACGGGAGGCAGCAGUGGGGAAUAUUGGACAAUGGGCGAAAGCCUGAUCCAGCCAUGCCGCGUGUGUGAAGAAGGCCUUUUGGUUGUAAAGCACUUUAAGCGAGGAGGAGGCUACUUAGAUUAAUACUCUAGGAUAGUGGACGUUACUCGCAGAAUAAGCACCGGCUAACUCUGUGCCAGCAGCCGCGGUAAUACAGAGGGUGCGAGCGUUAAUCGGAUUUACUGGGCGUAAAGCGUGCGUAGGCGGCUUUUUAAGUCGGAUGUGAAAUCCCCGAGCUUAACUUGGGAAUUGCAUUCGAUACUGGGAAGCUAGAGUAUGGGAGAGGAUGGUAGAAUUCCAGGUGUAGCGGUGAAAUGCGUAGAGAUCUGGAGGAAUACCGAUGGCGAGGCAGCCAUCUGGCCUAAUACUGACGCUGAGGU
rnacentral:rRNA from 1 species